AUGGCCUUUUUUCCAAGGUCUCCCUAUGAGUCCAGAGACCUGGGCCGAACCUGCUUGGGUGUCCAGGGAUCAUGGCAGGACCUUCUGACCGGCAGAUGAUCCCAAGGCACUUAGGACUGCCGGUCCCUGUCUGGAGCAAGAAGCAGCAUGUAGAUGUGGGCGAGACUACCAGAAGGACCGUCUGUGUAGAAGAGGAAGGGCAGAGACAAAGUCU